CUUGCAUUGAAUAAUUAAUAGCAAUUUAAAACCAGAAUCAAUCAAUAUGAACUUCGCAAAGAUCUUCUUCAUCAUAUUCGCUUGCAUCAUGGCUUUGACAUCGGUCUCAGGAGCCCCAAGCCCUAAGUGGAAGUUAUUCAAGAGAAUUGAAAAAGUAGGCAGAAACAUUCGUAACGGCCUAAUUAAGGCCGGUCCAGCUGUUCAGGUCGUCGGCCAAGCGGCCACAAUCUACAAAGGAUAAACAACCUUAUGCACCUAGCAAUAAUGUUUAAUUUGUCCACCUAGUUGUUUAAUUCUAAGUUUCUUAAUCAGCAUUUACUCGCCAAAGUCAGUUUUAAAGUAGUAAGUAGUGUAAAAUAUUGUGAAAAAAUGUAAUAUUAAGAAUACUCAUAAUUUUAUUGUGAAUAAUUAUCAUUAAUAAUUCGUGCCAUUGUAAAAGUAUUAUUUAUUUUACAAAUAUAUUUAAAAUACUCAAUUA